UUGUCGUCUAAGUUUGGUGCCAGAAGACUCGGUAAGACCUUAGACGCAAACGUUAAUCGUCAUAAUCAGGCGUAAAGGGUGUGUAGGCUGCUUUAAAAAAUAUAAUAAGUAAUAUAAUUAUUAUAGCAAAAAAAUUAUAUUUUAAUAAAAGCUAGAAUCUAAAAGAGGGUAAGCUAAACAACAUAAUUAACUGGGACUGACAACUUAUAAUAAUGUGGAGUACUAAAGGUUAAAGCUAUUUAUCUACUGAAGAUUGACGCUGAGAAACGAAGGGGAGAAUAAGAAACUUAGAUUAGAGACCUAAUUAUCUCUCUCAGUCAACGAUGAAUGGUAGUUAUUAAAAAUUUUAUAAUUUUAGUAACGAGGUUAACACGAUGACCAUUCCGCCUUGUUAGUAAGACUGCAAAGUUGAAAACAAAAAAAUUAGUCGGUCUUGAAGCAAACGAAGUGAAGCAUGUUAUUUAAUUCAAUAAUCCGCACAGC
rnacentral:rRNA from 1 species